UACGUAGGGGGCAAGCGUUGUCCGGAUUUAUUGGGCGUAAAGAGCGUGUAGGCGGCCAGACAGGUCUGCUGUGAAAACUCGAGGCUCAACCUCGAGAUGUCGGCGGAAACCGUUUGGCUAGAGUCCGGAAGAGGAGAGUGGAAUUCCUGGUGUAGCGGUGAAAUGCGCAGAUAUCAGGAAGAACACCUAUGGCGAAGGCAGCUCUCUGGGACGGUACUGACGCUGAGACGCGAAAGCGUGGGGAGCGAACAGG
rnacentral:rRNA from 1 species